GACGAACGCUGGCGUCGUGCUUAACACAUGCAAGUCGAACGGAAAGGCCCUGCUUUUGUGGGGUGCUCGAGUGGCGAACGGGUGAGUAACACGUGAGUAACCUGCCCUUGACUUUGGGAUAACUUCAGGAAACUGGGGCUAAUACCGGAUAGGAGCUCCUUCUGCAUGGUUGUGGUUGGAAAGUUUCGGCGGUUGGGGAUGGACUCGCGGCUUAUCAGCUUGUUGGUGGGGUAGUGGCUUACCAAGGCUUUGACGGGUAGCCGGCCUGAGAGGGUGACCGGCCACAUUGGGACUGAGAUACGGCCCAGACUCCUACGGGAGGUAGCAGUGGGGAAUAUUGCACAAUGGGCGGAAGCCUGAUGCAGCAACGCCGCGUGCGGGAUGACGGCCUUCGGGUUGUAAACCGCUUUCGCCUGUGACGAAGCGUGAGUGACGGUAAUGGGUAAAGAAGCACCGGCUAACUACGUG
rnacentral:rRNA from 1 species